rfam:Mesocricetus auratus contig065572, whole genome shotgun sequence.
GGAGCAGUGAUGACCCCAACAUGCCAUCUGAGUUACUUUGCUGAAAUCCAGAGGCUGUUUCUGAGCCA